UCCCACUGUCCUGAGCCUGGACCCAGCCUGUCUCCAAUCAGACCAACUGUUGACGAGGUGCUAAAGACCAUCCCUCUGUCCUGAGCCUGGACCCAGCCUGUCUCCUCUGUCCUGAGCCUGGACCCAGCCUGUCUCCUCUGUCCUGAGCCUG